AGGGAGCGGCUAAAGAUGGCGCCGACAUCCGGUGGUCGUUUGUGGUAAACACCUACAGCGCAUGUGUUGGCAGACCCCCAGCACCUACAAGGCCAGGGUGAUAUUCAUGCUAAAUAGGUUAUUUCAUGCUCCACCAAUCCCUAGAGGACAAAUUUACAGCCACAGCCUGUCUUGUAUUUAAGGCAAGUGCCUUUGUUCCUCGGGGUCCCCGUAUCAUCAACUAGGUGUUCCUGCAAUAAAGGCUGAUUGAGAAGGAUCCAACGGUGUUGCGUCUUCCUUGCCGGUCGAGGUGGGCGCGACAACUGGUGGCCUGUACGGGGACCCGAGAAAAUUAUCUUUUCUCGUCUGGAUCCAGAACUUUUUCAGCCUCAGGACGGUCGACGACGCAGCCAGUUCCUGCCCCUGUGGUCAAAAUGCCCCAGGUUGGGGGACAGAGAAGCCCCUCAGACUACAAAACUGCCAACAGCCAAAGGUAAAAGUUAAAACAGAGAACAUUCCAGGCCCAAGCCUAACCAGAUGUGUUUCAAAUGCAGAUGCUUCAUCAACUCUGACCAACUUUUACUCCAACAGGACGAGAUAAAAAUAAUAAAGACUUGAAGAUCCGA